GACGAACGCUGGCGGCGUGCUUAACACAUGCAAGUCGAACGGAAAGGCCCCUUUGGGGGUACUCGAGUGGCGAACGGGUGAGUAACACGUGAGUAACCUGCCCUUGACUUCGGGAUAACUUCAGGAAACUGGGGCUAAUACCGGAUAGGAAUCCUUGCUGCAUGGUGGGGGUUGGAAAGCUUCGGCGGUUUUGGAUGGACUCGCGGCUUAUCAGCUUGUUGGUGGGGUAGUGGCUUACCAAGGCUUUGACGGGUAGCUGGCCUGAGAGGGCGACCGGCCACAUUGGGGCUGAGAGACGGCCCAGACUCCUACGGGAGGCAGCAGUGGGGAAUAUUGCACAAUGGGCGGAAGCCUGAUGCAGCAACGCCGCGUGCGGGAUGACGGCCUUCGGGUUGUAAACCGCUUUCAGCAGGGGCGAAGCUUGUGGUGACGGUACCUGCAGAAGAAGCACCGGCUAACUACGUG
rnacentral:rRNA from 1 species